rnacentral:rRNA from 1 species
CGCAGGCGGCCAAGUCAGUCGAAUGUGAAAGCCCCCGGCUCAACUGGGGAAGGUCGUUCGAUACUGCUUGGCUCGAAGAUAGGAGAGGGAAGUGGAAUUUCAGGUGUAGUGGUGAAAUGCGUAGAUAUCUGAAGGAACACCAGUGGCGAAGGCGACUUUCUGGCCUAUUCUUGACGCUGAGGCGCGAAAGCUAGGGGAGCGAACG